rnacentral:rRNA from 1 species
UACGUAGGUGGCAAGCGUUGUCCGGAUUUAUUGGGUUUAAAGGGUGCGUAGGCGGCUUUGUAAGUCAGUGGUGAAAUAUGGCAGCUCAACUGUCAAGGUGCCAUUGAUACUGCGGAGCUUGAGUACAGAUGAGGUAGGCGGAAUUGACGGUGUAGCGGUGAAAUGCUUAGAUAUCGUCAAGAGCACCUAUAGCGAAGGCAGCUUACUAGGCUGUAACUGACGCUGAGGCACGAAAGUGUGGGGAUCAAACAGG